rnacentral:rRNA from 1 species
AGUGAACGCUGGCGGUAGGCCUAACACAUGCAAGUCGAACGGCAGCACAGUAAGAGCUUGCUCUUACGGGUGGCGAGUGGCGGACGGGUGAGGAAUACAUCGGAAUCUACUUUUUCGUGGGGGAUAACGUAGGUAAACUUACGCUAAUACCGCAUACGACCUACGGGUGAAAGCAGGGGAUCUUCGGACCUUGCGCGAUUGAAUGAGCCGAUGUCGGAUUAGCUAGUUGGCGGGGUAAAGGCCCACCAAGGCGACGAUCCGUAGCUGGUCUGAGAGGAUGAUCAGCCACACUGGAGCUGAGACACGGUCCAGACUCCUACGGGAGGCAGCAGUGGGGAAUAGUGGACAAAGGGCGCAAGCCUGAUCCAGCCAUACCGCGUGGGUGAAGAAGGCCUUCGGGUUGUAAAGCCCUUUUGUUGGGAAAGAAAAGCAGCAGGUUAAUACCCCGCUGUUCUGACGGUACCCAAUGAAUAAGCACCGGCUAACUUCGUG